UACGUAGGGUGCAAGCGUUGUCCGGAAUUAUUGGGCGUAAAGGGCUCGUAGGCGGUCCAUCACGUCGGGAGUGAAAAGCUGGGGCUUAACCCCAGUCCUGCUUCCGAUACGGGUGGACUAGAGGUAGGUAGGGGAGAACGGAAUUCCUGGUGUAGCGGUGAAAUGCGCAGAUAUCAGGAGGAACACCGGUGGCGAAGGCGGUUCUCUGGGCCUUACCUGACGCUGAGGAGCGAAAGCGUGGGGAGCGAACAGG
rnacentral:rRNA from 1 species